rnacentral:rRNA from 1 species
UGUGUAGUCUAGCCUGCCCACUGAAAUAUAAAGGGCCGCGGUAUCUGAACCGUGCUAAGGUAGCAUAAUCAAUAGUCUUUUAAUUGGAGUCUAGAAUGAACGGUUGGACGAAAAUUUAACUGUCUUGAAUGUAAAACUGAAUUUUACUUUUAAGUGAAAAGGCUUAAAUAAAAUGAGGGGACGAUAAGACCCUAUAAAGCUUGAUGGUAAUUAUCUUGAAGUAUUUUAAAUAUUUGGUAUUUUAUUUUUGAGAAAUUAACAUUGUGCUGGGGCGGCUGGAAUAUAAGUUUAACUGUUAAUAAAAAAAAAUAAUUAUUUUUAGACAUAAAUGAUCCUUUAUUAAGGAUUUAAGAUUAAAGUUACUUUAGGGAUAACAGCGUAAUUCUUUUUGAGAGUUCAUAUCGACAGAAGUAGUUGCGACCUCGAUGUUGAAUUAAAAUUUCAUUAAGGUGUAGAAGCUUUAAUAGUAGGUCUGUUCGACCUUUAAAAUUUUACGUGAUCUGAGUU